CGCCUCUCGCUGACUUUAUAGGGAGAAACGGUGACGUAGCACACAGGGGCGGAGCCACCACAUUUUCUGCCACCACGGGAGUCUGGAAGUCCUCACGCGGUCAACAAACUCAGGACCUGAAGACUCUGCAGGGGUGAGGCGUUCAUCCAGACCCGCGUCCCACAUCACACCGGCAGAAGCAUGACAGACGGCUGCAUUCAUGCUGGCUUUCUGCUCUUCAUCUCAACACCAGAUUCUUUUGGUCUGAAGGCUGCACCAAUGAAAAACUGUCCAAAUCUUGAUCUUUCCAGAACUUUGCUGUGUGAAGGUGCAUCUCAGCUCACCAUCCUCACCUUUGCUCCUGCAUAGAAAACUAAGCAGAGCUCCAGGAGCAUGAAAGUUUUCCACCAUCCUCUCAUUUCUGCAGCUUCCUCUGUUAAGGAGGUUUCUCUGAGGCUGAUAUUAAAUGCAAGAAAACCAAAAGAGUUUCAUUUAAAGGAAUGCUUUUAUUGAUAUCCAAACAUUUACAACAAAAAUGCUUUCUAAGUGAUUUAGCACAAUCCUCUGAUCCCUUUGAGCAGUCUGCAGGUGGCGUCUGACUGCAUGAACUGCUUCAUCCCUGUGAGGCUGCUGAGGAGCUGCAGCCUCAUCUUUCAGUUGAAAAACUCUCCGGUCAUCUCCACUCGGUCAAAAAAAAAAA